CUUUGGUUCUAUUUUGUUGGUUUUAAGGACCAAUGUCAUGAUGAAUAGGGACAGUUGGGGGCAUUCGUAUUCCGAAGCUAGAGGUGAAAUUCUUGGAUUUUCGGAAGACGAACUACUGCGAAAGCAUUUGCCAAGGAUGUUUUCAUUAAUCAAGAACGAAAGUUAGGGGAUCGAAGACGAUUAGAUACCGUCGUAGUCUUAACCAUAAACGAUGCCGACUAGGGAUCGGUGAACGUCGAUUGUGACUUCAUCGGCACCUUACGAGAAAUCAAAGUUUUUGGGUUCUGGGGGGAGUAUAGUCGCAAGGCCGAAACUUAAAGGAAUUGACGGAAGGGCACCACCAGGAGUGGAGCCUGCGGCCUAAUUUGACUCAACACGGGAAAACUCACCAGGUCCAGACAUAGUAAGGAUUGACAGAUUGAGAGCUCUUUCAUGAUUCUGUGGGUGGUGGUGCAUGGCCGUUCUUAGUUGGUGGAGUGAUUUGUCUGCUUAAUUGCGAUAACGAACGAGACCUUAACCUGCUAAAUAGCCCUUAUUGCUUCGGCAGUAAGCUGGCUUCUUAGAGGGACUAUCGGCUCAAGCCGAUGGAAGUUUGAGGCAAUAACAGGUCUGUGAUGCCCUUAGAUGUUCUGGGCCGCACGCGCGCUACACUGAUAAAGUCAGCGAGUAUUCACCUUGACCGGAAGGUUUGGGUAAUCUUUUGAAACUUUAUCGUGA
rnacentral:rRNA from 1 species